UGGCCUAGAUGGUAAAGAAUCUGCCUGCAGUGCAGAAGACCCAGGUUCAAUCCCUGG
rnacentral:tRNA from 1 species